rnacentral:sRNA from 1 species
AGAUGUUGUUUAGAGUUCUGUUAGCACAGCUGUUUCUAGGGUCUGUAAAAACUCUAAGGACCCCGGGGAGGAUACACACCAGACUGGGUCUGGGCUCACACCACCCUGCAUCCCCAGAGCCUCCCUGGACGCUGUUUGCAAAGUCCUCACCGCCUGGAAGUCCAGGAGCCAUUUUUAGGGAACAACAUUCAAGCUCAACACGAAACGAAACUCAACCGAAAGACUCCAGAGAGCAGAAGAUGGAAGGAGACUUCUCGGUGUGCAGGAACUGCAAAAGACAUGUAGCCUCUGCCCACUUCACUCUCCAUGAGGCUUACUGCCUGCGGUUCCUGGUCCUGUGUCCGGAGUGUGAGGAGCCUGUCCCCAAGGAAACCAUGGAGGAGCACUGCAAGGUUGAGCACCAGCAGGUGAGGAGGCGGCAGGGAGGAUGGGGUCUGGGAGUCAAGGUGAGUGU